UACAGCCUCUAGGUAUUACUGGGAGGUACUCUCUUGCUCCAGACAGCUGAAGUGAAACUUUCAGCCUUUUGAACAGGUCUGGUAGUGAAGGGUCUGACCAUGUGAAAUUUCUUUGUAAGAUGGGAGUAGGACUGCUUCUUCAUUAAAUCAUAAAUGGGAAACACUGCUCUAGCUUUCCACGCUUGUAGAAUAAGAGAAUUCAACAUGUAUUUGGAUGGAGUGAAGCAAAGAUCCACUGAAGAAUUCAAAUAUGUCUUCUAGGCCUGUGUUAAAGCUCCAAGAAUUUCCCAUUCUUCCAGAGGAACUUGUUACAGCACUGAGAAUUACAUCUUCCUGGCGGAAUAUUUUGCUAACU